AGAUGUAUAGCUAAACGGUUACAGCAUCAGACUUUUAAUCUGCUUAUUUUGGGUUCGAAUCCCAAUACAUCUA
rnacentral:tRNA from 1 species